rnacentral:rRNA from 1 species
GAUGAACGCUGGCGGCGUGCCUAACACAUGCAAGUCGAGCGAAGCACUUUGCUUAGAUUCUUCGGAUGAAGAGGAUUGUGACUGAGCGGCGGACGGGUGAGUAACGCGUGGGUAACCUGCCUCAUACAGGGGGAUAACAGUUAGAAAUGACUGCUAAUACCGCAUAAGACCACAGCACCGCAUGGUGCGGGGGUAAAAACUCCGGUGGUAUGAGAUGGACCCGCGUCUGAUUAGCUAGUUGGUAAGGUAACGGCUUACCAAGGCGACGAUCAGUAGCCGACCUGAGAGGGUGACCGGCCACAUUGGGACUGAGACACGGCCCAAACUCCUACGGGAGGCAGCAGUGGGGAAUAUUGCACAAUGGGGGAAACCCUGAUACAGCGACGCCGCGUGAGCGAAGAAGUAUUUCGGUAUGUAAAGCUCUAUCAGCAGGGAAGAA